UACGUAGGGGGCUAGCGUUGUCCGGAUUUAUUGGGCGUAAAGAGCGUGUAGGCGGCCGAGUAAGUCCGGUGUGAAAACUCGAGGCUUAACCUCGAGAUGUCAUCGGAAACUAUUCGGCUAGAGUCCGGAAGAGGAGAGUGGAAUUCCUGGUGUAGCGGUGAAAUGCGCAGAUAUCAGGAAGAACACCUACGGCGAAAGCAGCUCUCUGGGACGGUACUGACGCUGAGACGCGAAAGCGUGGGGAGCGAACAGG
rnacentral:rRNA from 1 species